rnacentral:rRNA from 1 species
GACGAACGCUGGCGGCGUGCCUAAUACAUGCAAGUAGAACGCUGAAGGAGGAGCUUGCUUCUCUGGAUGAGUUGCGAACGGGUGAGUAACGCGUAGGUAACCUGCCUGGUAGCGGGGGAUAACUAUUGGAAACGAUAGCUAAUACCGCAUAAUAGUAGAUGUUGCAUGACAUUUGCUUAAAAGGUGCAAUUGCAUCACUACCAGAUGGACCUGCGUUGUAUUAGCUAGUUGGUGAGGUAACGGCUCACCAAGGCAACGAUACAUAGCCGACCUGAGAGGGUGAUCGGCCACACUGGGACUGAGACACGGCCCAGACUCCUACGGGAGGCAGCAGUAGGGAAGCUUCGGCAAUGGACGGAAGUCUGACCGAGCAACGCCGCGUGAGUGAAGAAGGGUUUCGGAUCGUAAAGCUCUGUUGUAAGAGAAGAACGAGUGUGAGAGUGGAAAGUUCACACUGUGACGGUAUCUUACCAGAAAGGGACGGCUAACUACGUG